UUCGAGCGUCAUUAUCACCAAUCGAGCCCCGCUCGGUGUUGGGCGCUGCGGCCCGUCCGCACGCCCCAAUGUCUCCGGCUGGGCCGUCUGUCUCGAAGCGUUGUGGCAACUCAACCCGCUUGCGAGCCCGGACGGUCGACGCCGCUAAACCUCCACACCAGGUUGACCUCGGAUCAGGUAGGGAUACCCGCUGAACUUAA
rnacentral:misc_RNA from 1 species